UUUAUAAUUCUGCAUUUCUCUGCAACUCAGUGAACUGAAUCCUCUCAAAACUUCCAAUGCCCUCUGGCCACAGUGGAUGGAGAGAUUCCCUCUUCACUCAGCCCCAGCCCCAUCUCUCUCAGGGCAAGGGAAGUUCUCCUCACCCCCAGACAUGGCUAGCACAUCCUCAAGGGCUGCAAAAUGAAGUGGUUCAAUUUCCUGAUGCUCAGCUAUGCCAGCAGCACACAGCAACCAUUGCCAAAUUUCUCCCUGAUGAACACUGGACACAGUCAGAACCUGAACUUCCUAGACUCCGUUCAUGUUUUCCAAAAACCAAACCUCGAUUCUAUUUACAAACAGAGGAGGAGAUCUAAUAUGCACAAAUCUGUCAGAAAUUAGGUCUUGAUUAGCAAUGAACAUCUUUGCAAGUAAUCUGCCAGGUAAAAAUGGGUGACUGAAACUAAUCUGAAACAGGAAUUAAAUUCUGAAUACUGGCCUGACUACAAGGAGAGCAUAUUUUGAAGUAAUUGCUCCCUUCUUGAAAAGCACUCAGAGCAGCAGAAAGUGUUAAUGUGUGGUCAUCACCCAGCUUCCAUUAUUUAAGCUGCUAGCAGGUAAAAAGAACUGCCAACCUGCAUGGAAAAAAACAUCCAUCUAUUUCCCAUCUGUCAUAUUUUCUCAAAUCCAUUCCACAUAAAUCUGAAUACACACGAGACAAAGUAUAUACCAUUGGCCUCAAUUCCACUUCAAAAAUAUACAGCACGACCAAAGACAAACCACAAUCCCACAACUGAGCACACAUUUCAGGACACAUGCUCUUUGCAGCCAUACUUUCCUUUACUGCUACAAAGAAAUAACUUCAGCAGUUCUGUACACCUGUGUUUAGUGAUUGCUAACUGGGGCUCACUCCAAGAUUCUCGUCACCUUUAAUGACUGCUGACCCUUAAAAACCAGCAGAACCCAGACUGGAUUGAGUCCAAAUUUCCAGGACUGCAGAUAAAUAGUGUCCAGUCUACAUGCAAUGGUGUCUGUAGGUUUUAGCCCUCUGAGCGACAUUUUGUGAUGCAGACAGGAGACAGCAGUGGAAGCUGACACCUCUCUUGAAUGGCCACUGUCUCUUCAAUCCCUGCUAACCCAGGCACUGGGUAGUGAAGGAGGGAGGUUCUUCAUAAGCAAUGGAAACCAGGAGUUUAAGAUGAAGAGUGCCAGCUUAAACUUCUGUGAAUUACCACGGGUGGGUAGAAACUUUAGCAAAACAUUUUUCCAUCAGUAAAAUGAUUGUCCAUUGACAGAUAAAAUAUUUAGGUGAAAACAGCACCUCAAAAUGUAAGUGGAGACAGAUUACCUAAUUUUGAUCAACUGGAAAUAAAAACAAUCCAGUUUGGUUUGAAGUAACUAACUCAACAGUUAAACAAAGCAGAAAAAAAAAAUUAAAAUGGAAUGAGUUGAGGCUUUUGCUUGAACCAAGAUGCCUCUUAAAUGUCUUGGCAUGAACAGUGACUUUCCCAAAUCUCUUCACGCUGUUUAUUUCUAAAUACCGGAUGUCUGGUUUGCUCGGAGCGUGUGUGUGUGUGAAGGAUUUGCCUGAUUGUCUGCCCCAGUGUCACAAUCACAGCACAGACUUCAAGAACUCCUGGCACAGGGAGAAAACACAGAGCAGACAAAGGGUAGAAGAGAGCAUAUAUUGCAUUUUGAACUGCUCUUCCAGUAGGGUUCUCCUCCACAGCAAUUUGCGGAGUCUAAGUCUGGCUGUGGUGGUGGCACCUGGCACGGAGUGGCAGGAGGGAGCCAGCACAGAACAUACAAGUGAAAACGCCAUUUGGCUCCUUGAAGCCAGUGGUUUUGCACACACCCAGUUGGGUUUCUUCAGAAACCAUUCCUGUAUUUCUGGGGAGAGGCUUUGCACUGCAGAAUAAAAGCUUGUCCUGCCCUGUGGCUUCUCACAAAGGGUUUGCCCAGCUCAGUCCCCAGCACAGCACAGCCCGUGGGACCCAGCACUGCAGAACCAUGUGACCUCACAAGGGUUGCCAUUCCAUCCUGCUCCUUCCAGUACCCUGACAGGAGAAGCUGUGCUAAUUACUGGUAAUCAACUGCAGGCUUUGUUUACAAGGAUCUAAUCUUCAGCUUCACAGCCAAACCACUGCACCUAAGCUCAGCUAAAGAUGCUGGCUAUCCACCACCAACAAGGCAAGAGCUGGCUGGAACCACAGGGUGCCAGCUGGAUCUACAGCCACCACAGUGCAGGCACGUCUGUCUGAGCAGCCUCCCAGCCCUGACACAGAGAGGAAGGAGCUGUGACUCACCCAGAAAUGGAGGGGAGGUGCCAGACUCCAGAGACUGACAUCCCACCACUGGAUCCUGCCAUCCCUCCUGAAGCACUUCAAGGCUUUCAUCCUUGCUUGAGUGGGAUGGAGAAGCCAGGUCUGAUCAAUCCAUGAGGCAAUCCUGUGAACAGAGUGUGGAAGGGACUUUAACAGGAACAUUAAUAAAUGAACUGCCUUUUCAAAGGGCCAGACGGUG